rnacentral:rRNA from 1 species
GGGCAGUGCGGCGUGCUAUACAUGCAAGUCGAGCGGAGAUUUGAAAAGCUUGCUUUUCAAAACUUAGCGGCGGACGGGUGAGUAACACGUGGGCAACCUGCCCUUGAGACGGGGAUAACUCCGGGAAACCGGAGCUAAUACCGGAUAACACAUAUCUUCGCAUGAGGAUAUGUUAGAAGGUGGCUUUUAGCUACCACUCAAGGAUGGGCCCGCGGCGCAUUAGCUAGUUGGUGAGGUAACGGCUCACCAAGGCGACGAUGCGUAGCCGACCUGAGAGGGUGAUCGGCCACACUGGGACUGAGACACGGCCCAGACUCCUACGGGAGGCAGCAGUAGGGAAUCUUCCGCAAUGGACGAAAGUCUGACGGAGCAACGCCGCGUGAGUGAUGAAGGUUUUCGGAUCGUAAAGCUCUGUUGUUAGGGAAGAACAAGUACCUGUUGAAUAAGCAGGUACCUUGACGGUACCUAACCAGAAAGCCACGGCUAACUACGUGCCAGCAGCCGCGGUAAUACGUAGGUGGCAAGCGUUGUCCGGAAUUAUUGGGCGUAAAGCGCGCGCAGGCGGUUCCUUAAGUCUGAUGUGAAAGCCCACGGCUCAACCGUGGAGGGUCAUUGGAAACUGGGGAACUUGAGUGCAGAAGAGGAGAGCGGAAUUCCACGUGUAGCGGUGAAAUGCGUAGAGAUGUGGAGGAACACCAGUGGCGAAGGCGGCUCUCUGGUCUGUAACUGACGCUGAGGCGCGAAAGCGUGGGGAGCGAACAGGAUUAGAUACCCUGGUAGUCCACGCCGUAAACGAUGAGUGCUAAGUGUUAGAGGGUUUCCGCCCUUUAGUGCUGCAGCAAACGCAUUAAGCACUCCGCCUGGGGAGUACGGUCGCAAGACUGAAACUCAAAGGAAUUGACGGGGACCCGCACAAGCGGGGGAGCAUGUGGUUUAUUUCGAAGCAACGCGAAAAAACCUUACCAGGUCUUGACAUCCUCUGCUACUUCUAAAAAAAAAAAAGGUUCCCUUCCGGGGACAAAAUGACAAGGGGGGGGCAUGGGUGGUCGCCCACCUCCGGGCCCGGGAAAUGUUGGGGUUAAAUUCC